CGAGCGCUCCGGUCGAAACUGCCGCGGUAGAGAGCGCCACGACGGCCAGCGCGCAGCGCAGGAAAAUCAUUGCACGAGUCGUUUGUGGCAUUUCAGGUUCACCGGUUCGCUUUGCGCCCACCGCGGACGGUAGCGGGCAGCGGCAGCGCUGUUUUGUAUUUCACCUGCUUCAGCGCGAAGCUCGACUUGAUGCUCGCCACA
rnacentral:misc_RNA from 1 species